rnacentral:lncRNA from 1 species
AGAGCAAAGCCCCUGGGGCCCAAACACGGCUGUGCUGGGCCAUUCCUUCCAAAGGCUACAGGUUGGAAGUGGGGGAAACAGAGCAGCUUUGCAGGAGAGAAACCUGAACAGACUCCCAGGUCAUCACCACGGUGAGCGGUCAUGCUGGGAGUCUGCCCCCGGGAGCUGGAGUGGUCAAGCGGCACUUUGCUUCUGAGGUCUCGCGCCCCCGGGCCCCGGAGCCACCCAGCCUCGUCAGGAGGAAGAUGUCAGACGGGCUCCAACCCAAAGGAUCGUCUCGGAGACGCAGAGGAAACGCCCCGCCAGUGCUCCUCGGAGCAGCCAGGGUCCCACCCAAGGAGAGGAGCGUGGGGACGCGGACCCUGUCUAGAAGAGCCGCCCAGACAUCGCGAGCAAGUGUGACGCCGUCUGGAGGACAUCCUGGCACAGAGACGGGACCUGGGUGAAAACGAAGGAACUUCAAGCCACCAAGGGGCCUCAGGGAGCAGGGUCUGUGACUCGUGGGCACUGCGCCGCAUCCUCCUAAACGCUGCGUCUGCCGUCCAGCUCCUGAGGGCCGGGUCUCUCCUGCAGGAUUUAUGGGCCAAACGCUGCCAAGCAGACAGAAAUCCAAAUAGGAACACGUCUCACCCUAACAGAGCUUUAAUUCAGCGAGAAGCACGCCCCAGAUACGCAGACGGUUUCCCAGCGCUCGGGGCCUGGAAUCCCACUCCCUCCUCCUCGGAGCCCUCGGGAGGACACGGGCCCGCGGGUGACAUGACCGGAAGCGGCCUGGUGACCGGCUGCGAGAAGAGCCCUGGCUGGGCCCCCGUCUCCCACGUUAGGUGGAGCCCCAUUCUCAACGAGCACGUGUGCGACGCCCCUAGGUGGAUCCUAAGGUUUCUACACAGAAAUCCCCCUUCUUGUUGGGUGAGCCUCGAAUUCUCCGGUCGCCCUGUCUCCACCUCCUGACAGGCCCCAGCGUGCUCACCUUGGGGCACCGUGGGGGGAGGGCUGUUCUCCAGGACGGAGACACUUUAUGACCUCGGGGGCGGGGGCGUCCAGAUGGACACAGCCCGCGGACGUCUCUCCUUUGCCUUCCCAGUCUCAGGAGCAGCCUGGACUCGCAGGACAGGCAGAUCAGUGUCGGGGGGUCCCUGUCACUCAGACACGGCUGCGGGGCCCACGGGGCGGCGGAUGUGGACGUGGCGGGCUGUCUUAGCUCUGUGUUGGGUCACAGCUGGGCUGUGUCUGCUUCAGAGCUGCCACCUCUGCACCACGUGGGCCCUCGCCCCUCCACAUAGGGCAGCAAGGACCAAAUACACCCUCAGAAUCUUUCUCAACACUGUGCUCCCAGGAACCAGCCCCCAGCCCAUCAAACCAGCUCAGCAGAGGGAACCACUUGCCCCUCCUGGUCUGUAGGGUGAGGCUGUUGAAGAAAAACAAACUACUCCCUAAAACAACUGGCGUUUGGGAGAAAGAAUUUGCACCAGCUAUUAUUUGAACAACAAACACUCGUUCCUCUGAUGAGUCUCCAGCACGUCUGUGUGUCCCCCUAGUACUCACCUGGAGUUGUCCGUGACUGGUACCACCGUGGGACCGUGGGACUGUGUGUGUGCCUGGUCUGCUGAGCGAUUCCCUCCCCUACUCCCAGCAGGCGAUGGGAGCAUGGGUGGUGCCCAACACAAGCUCAUUGACUUGAAUUAAAAGCACUUAAGGAGUUCCUGUCGUGGCUCAGCGGGUUAAGAAAACGACUAGGAAGGCAGGUUCGAUCCCUGGCCUCGCUCAGUGGGUUAAGGGGACGGCGUGGCUGUGGCUGUGGUGGAGGCCGGCAGCUGCAGCUUUGAUUCGACCCCUGGCCUGGGAACUCUAUAUGCUACAGGUGUGACCCCCCCAAGAAAGAAAUCACUUAAGUGAUGUACUCAAUCGGAGUCCAGGAUUCCAGGAAGCACUUCUGUCAGGGGACAAGGCCAAGGGGACAAGGCCAAGGAUGACAACCUGCAAGAGAAGGGGUGGCGCCUGCAAGCCCUCGACUUGCCGUCAGAACCAGGAACCAGGGUCUCAAAGUGCAGUUGCUAAUUCAAGGUUUGUCCAAACCGGGGGAAUGCCUUGGUCAGCAAAACCGGACCCCAAACCUCCCGAGAACAAGCCGUCUAGUGAGAUUUCCGUUACCUGCUGCUUCCAGGCGGACUGGAAGUACCUCCGGGCCGCCUUCCCACUGGUGGUUUGGCACGUCUUCCCCCAGCUGGAGCCCACAAGUGCAAAAAUCAAAUGUCCUGGGAGGAGACUUGAUUAAAUGUCUUCAAACCUCAAAAAAGAAGACGUCAGUUCAGGCAGAGUUCAAGUUUGGAGGUCAAGCCUCAGGGACCCCUGGGGCUCUUUUGUAGAGAGCGCUUUAACUCUGGCCUUGAAAUCGGACCCCGGAGACCUUCUCCGGAGCCCCAGGCGCUUGCCGCCCCGCCCCCCUUUGUUCUGUGCGGUCCCCGCGGCCGAGGCAGAGUCAGGAGGUUCCGCCCGCUGCGCUGCGGGCCGGCCCGCCGACUCCCGCAGAGGGGGCGCGGUCAUCCGCCGCUCUUCUGCUCACGCCCCUCUGCUCCCUCUGCGGUGGGACCUUCAGAUGGCUGACCCUUGCUGGGAUCUGCUUUUCCAGCGAGAUAGGAUCAGUUCAAGCUGCCUUUGCACACGAAAACCUUCAGAGGCCCCUGGCGAUGCCGCCACCUCCCGCCCAAGAUGUUUUUACCUAGUUUUGAGCACUUUCCAGCUGUCAUCCAGGGUGGCUGGCUUCAGGGAUGGAUGCUGUUUUUCUGAAAAGGAAAUCAGGCUUCAUUUUCCCUCAAGCGCCAGAAUACCUCUCUGAGCUGCGGCUGGGGACGCGUGACGUGCCAAGCCACUGGCCCCCCUUGGUCCCCGCUCUUUGUGGUACCGCUACUCUUUGCCAUGGGGCUGUGGAGUCUCACUGUUUCUUACCAAGAAGGCUGGCGACUUUACUGCCUCAGAUGAUAACACGAGGACAGCUGAAAAAGGCCAGGAAGGGCCCAGGAGGAGGCUGCCCGCCAGUGCCCUGUGCCCUGUGCCGCGAGGAGGGUCGCCGGGCAAAGCUGGGGGGGGGUCCCCCACCAGAGACACCCGGAGGCCUCUCCAGGACCCAUGCACAGAGGCCGAGGCAUUACAUACCUGUUGUGAGCAGCGCGGGCAGGGGUGUGGGAGCCUCCUGCCCCUUCCCCUUGGAGAAGAACCCUCGUCACCAAUGAAGGAAAACAGUACGGCACAGGGUCUGUCCCUGUCAGAAAAUCCAUCUGCAUCUGGCUUCACAGGCAGGGACCAACAGACCCAAACCGCAGAGCCGAUGCCGUGUCUCACAGACCGAGCUCGCUUUCCGGUCCUAGGAGCUUCGUGUGUUCGCAAAAGUGGAGCGAGGGCCCUGUCCUCAGGCUGGGGCGAGGCAGACAGAUCCGUGGCGGGGGGUGGGGGGGGCGCCCCGCGUGCACGUUGACAGUCCUGAGUGUGAGUGUGCACGUGUGUGUGCCCGUACAUAAGCACACACCUAUGUGUGCGUGUGUGGGUAUGCGUACAAUUCUUUUCUCCUUGAUGCCGUCAAAUCCAGGUCUAGCAAGAAGGCUGCACAGCGGGAGGCCCUUGAAUGUUCUCUUGGGACAGACUCACUGCAGGACGCCCGCCCUGUGGAGGGGCAGCGGCGGUGGGACCUGGGCCAUUCCUUCAUUGUCACCUGUCCCCACCUUCCAGCCACGAGAAGCUGUGCUUUCUGUGUGAGAUGCAUUGAGAUGGUGUGGCUGCAAAGGAAGCUGCAUUUUGAACAGAGAGACGGCGGGCGAGGUGGAGGAAAGAAACGGGGGUGUUAGAAACACCGGCGCCAACCUGCCCCCCAGCUGCCCCCAGCACACACCGAGCCAAACCCCAGGUCUGCGGCCCCCGCUGCGGCUGGUGCACGCAGGGCCACCGCCAUGUGCCGGGCAGGACCUGUCCCUGUUGCACAGAGGGGACCCGUGUUUCUCCGAGUGGCCCAGGACCCGUGGAGCGGGAGACCCGUCAAGGGGGACGGAAAAUUAGGGCCAAGAGCAGCCAAGCAGCUGUCGACGAGACCGUCCACCGUGUGACGCCUCCUGCAUCGUUAACGGCCUCACGCACCUGGGAAGCGCAGGGUUAAAGGGCGGCGUUUUUUGCAGAGAGGAGACGAACAGAGGCAUAUGCUUAUAUCCCCAAACUCCCCACGGGGCCCCGAAAAGGCUGUGCUGCCACCGGGCCCUUGGGUGGCCUCCCGGGUCAGUCUGGAGACCGUCACCUCCCAUGAAAGAAAAAGAGAAGCACCCGCGUUCAGAGCAGGCGGGCACACCUUUUCUGUAAAGGGCAGGACGGCAAAUAUUUCCAGCUUGGCCGUCACUGUCACAACUGCUCGACGUGAGGAAGCCGCAGUGGGGGAUGUGUGAUAGCGGCAUGUGUUCACGUGUGUGCGCGUGUGUGCACACGUGUGCACCCGUCAAACUUUAUGGACGGACACAGGCUGUGGGCUGUAUCUGGCUCAGGAAGCAGAGUCGGCCAGUCCCUGUUGAGCUGAAGACGCAACCUCUGUGCCUUCAUCGGAUUGGUGGUUUUAACAAGGUAACUGGUGACCUGCGGCAUCUCCCCAGAGGCCCGUGCAGCCCCAGACAGGCCAGCCCACGUGCAGGCCUAUUCUCAGCAUGCGUGCCAGCGGGCCCACCUGUCCCGCCAGGGGAGCCCAGCACAGGCCUCCUUGCCCAGCGUGAUGACACGAGGGCUGGCUGCAAGACCUGACCUCUGGGACGAGGGGCAAAAGGCCAAAUGUUACUCCUCUGAAGGCUUUUGUCACCUGAUCCAGCAGCCCCAAGGGAAACUGUAACGUGAACAGCUCCGACUCCGACACACCACUGCCCCUCUUCUGAUACAAAGCUGCCUUUUCUGUAGCCCCGGCCAUCCGGGAUGCAGAGCUCACCACAGACCCAGAAUGCCCAGCCCGAGACGGGUCCAGGGGCCCAGACCUGCCCCGCCAGGACCCAGAACCACCGUCGUGCCCAGAAGAGAAGUCCAGGAGGUCACCGAGAGGCCAGCGCCCGGCUCCCGCUCAGGGUCCGCCAGCCCUGGUCCCCUUGUCAGGCUGGCACGGCUGGUAGCCCAGAGGUGAAGCUGACUGAUGCCAGGCUCCCAGCCGAGGCUGCAUGGCAGCCCUGGUGUGAGAGGACCGGGCUCCCUCUGGUUUGAAAUCUGUGAGAAAUUCAGUUUGAGCGCGUCCCCUUUCACCUCUGAGGCGAGCCUGCGGCCACCUGAAUCCAAACCAGAUGGCUCCUCGGGCCUAAAGACAACAAAUAGCGGCUCAAGACCCCGGCGGCAGAGGACCACCAGGGCAAGGCUGGGAACAGCCAGCUGCUUGCGAGAACUCCGCCCGAGGGCUCCCCAGAUCUGGAGAGGGCCGCCCGCAACGCCCAGUGCAUCCAGCACUGCGAACGGCUCUUUGAGCGGGUUUCCAUGAGACCCAGAGCCCCGGCCCCCGGCCCCCAGCCCCCUUCCUCUGCUGCGCCCAGCGGGGCUGGUUUGUUUUGGCAGAGCCAGCAGGUGCCCUCGCAGCGCUGGGCUUGGCGCUCUGGCGGGGUGUCCGCGGUGACCUGAAGACUUGGGUGGCCGCCUUCACGCUCUCACUUCCCCGUCGGCUGAUCCAUGUACCACCCACGUUCUGGAAGGCCCGGCGAGAUCCGAGAUUCCUGAAGGAGGGGCGCUGACCUCCGCUGCCCCCGGCCCCGGCCGGCGGCCUCUGGAGGCUUGGAAAUCUGGGCUCUGCCUUUUCAUAAACGGUGAGGGGAGUGAGUAUUUCAGCAGGCGGGCGGUGAAACUCGAGCUUCCAGCUGAUAACUGAAAUCGGGCCUCGUCAACAAACACUGGCUGGCGGCCUGGAAGCUUCUAAAUCGCCUUUGAAAAGAGAAGAGGAUACACUCUACUGUAUACAAAAGAGAUGAUCAACGCAGACCUGCUGCACAGCCCGAGGGGGGCGGGGGGGGGGGGGGGCGCUGUUUGGUAGCAACCUGCACGGGAGAAUCUGAAAAGGCCUGGCUGGGGCAGGCACCGAACUGAUGCGCUUUGCUGGCUACCUGAAGCCGCCACACGUUGUAAACUGAUAGACGUCAAUGUAAAAUAAAAAUUAAAUU